UAUCCAACGAAGAAUCACCGGAAACCACCACCAAUCGCCGCCGUGAAGCCCAUCGCCGUCGUCUAAAACGUCGUCGUCGCACCUUCAGUUCUAGAUAUCACCAUCUUCAUCAUUCUGUCACCAUAAGAGAACACGUAUGUAAGGAUGAAUGAGGACAUAUCACUUAUCAUGUAUCAUGGAGGGAGGUUUGUAAGAAAUGGAAGAGGUAACCGGGAAUAUACAGGGAAAGGAAGACGUGUGUGGGAUGUAGACACAUACCUCGUUUGCAUACCUGAUCUUAAAAAAAUGGUUGUGGAGUGUGGUAAUUAUGGGAAUGUUGAGGGUAUGCAGUGGAUGAGGAAAGAAUUUGGCGAAGAUUAUGAUUUGGGGUUAAGACCAUUGUCCGUUGAUAGUGACGUUAAUGCUAGUUUUGAAUAUGUGUAGAAUAAUGCUUCUGCUAUAGUUAAUGCUUCUGCUAUAGUUUAUGACCGAGUGAUAUAUGCUUCUGCUAUGGUUAAAUGUGGCCUAAAAUAUAACUUCAUGUGUUGUAGUAGCAUGACUAUUAUUCUGUAACAAACUAGCACCAUAUUUUCUCAUUCA